UUUUUUUAAAGAGUACAUUCAAGUUCAUAAGAUUUAAAAAACUAGACUAAAUCAUCCACUGUAAAAUCACCAUCCACUGUCGGAUCACAAUCAUAGGCCUAUACAGUAUCAGUAUGAAAACUAGGGUUGCUGUAAUCCAGAUUUUCAUACAGUUUUUGUACCAUACCGGGGUAUACAACAUUACCGAAUGUGCACACAAGGGGCGCAAAAACAAUUUAGGCAACAGUGAUCUUGAUAGUCUCUGCUGUAACCAAGAAGCUUGACAUCUAGCCACUUUGCUAGCAAGUUAUUAAACCAAAUACAUUGCUGGUGCCCUGAGCUGCAUAUAAUUUAUUUGACAUAUCUUAGAUUUCUUAUAGUUAUGAGCAGUGGCGUAGCACGUACCCUGUCUGUAUUUCAAAGUAAGUCCAAAUGUGAGAAAAAAAAAAGAAUGUCUACCUUACUGCAAUGACGCAAUGAAGGGAUGCAACUGAAUAAAUAAAAAUGGUUUCCCUUGCGUUGCACUACAAAUCUGGGGCUGCACACAUUUGCAAUUCAACUAAAUUAGGCUUCAGGCUGGAUUUAUCCCCCACCAAACAUUCAAGGAAACCGGGGCUACCCAUUUAAAAACAUGGCUGAUGACUCCCCUCACAAACCCCUCAAACCAACAAGAUGCAAGGUACAACCAAGCCCACGCAUACACAAGAACAACAGUGGAGCGCACCAUAGGCCUGCUGAAAGGGCAUUGGCUGUGCUUGUCUGGGACAGGAGGCACAUGCAAUACCAGCCUAGCAGCCUAGGUUAGCUACAUUGUCAAGGCUUGCAGUGUGCUCCACAACAUUGCAAUCAAAAAUGGCAUUCCACUGAAUGAUCUACCCAGACCCGGUGAGCCCAUGCCUGACAGGGAGUGUUUCCCACCACCCAUAGCCCUGGCAUAGAGGACCAGAGUCAAUAUCAUACAAAGGACUGCGUCAGUCAAUACAUGCGGUGCAGCUGAAGCGCUCGCCAAAGAGGACACCCUUCUGGUAGACCUGGGGAUGAGGAGUCAGGAAAAUCACCCACAUCUGUCAAUAUUUCAUGUUUUGUUAUUUUUGUUAUAUUCAUUUUGUUAUAUUUGUUUAUUGUCAAGAAAAAAUAUUUAGAUGUGGUCCAUGUCUGAAUAUGGUUGCGAAAAAUAAAGCUUG